UUGUGUCAUUCGUGAUAUUUUAUCUAAUAAUGUUAAAUUUGUUGGUCACCGUAUAAAUAAUAUUUACAUGGUUAAUUUGGAUGAUGUCACUACAUUAUUUUCAAAAUGCUUUAUUUCUAAAGAAUAUGACAUCUGGCUAUGGCAUAGACGUGUUGCACAUAUCCAUAUAAAACAUCUAGAUAAAUUAUCAUCAAACGAGCUAG
rnacentral:lncRNA from 1 species